AGGAGCUCCAUGCAAUCUGCGCGGCUCUGCCCGCAGAAGGCUCCCAAGUAUCAGUCUGGCUCCCUCUGCUCCCAGCCACCUCUCAAGUCAAACAACAUACUGCCAGCAGCCGGCCUCGGCUCCGCUACCCAGGGUGGACAUGGAACUUGCCUCCCUAAUGAUGCCUUCCCCAGGCUGCCUGCCUGCGUUAGGAGUCCAGACUGCCCUGCAGUAACCCAAGACGAACACUUUCCCUAGCCAUCUGGAGAGCUCCUGGCUUCUCUGCCUGUAUCUCAUCACUGUCUGAAGAGACAGCCGUGCUAGAAAUCAAGCUACUCUCAGAUCUACUCUCUAAUCCCCUUCUGUUAGCUGAUUUUCAGUCUGACUAUUUGCUUUCGCAUUAGAUAAUAGCCUUUGAGAAAACAAUUAUCAUUUUCUUCCCCCUACCCUUGUUUUUCAACUUCUACAUACUCCGUUGAGGAAGGCUUCUUUUUUAUGUCAUUUUUUAAGAGAAGAAUUGUAGUAUACUUUGGGGAAGCUGCACACACACAAGAAGCUUGGAGGAAAAAUUUUUUGAUAUUUUGAGUAUAAAUUAAUAAACACUAUGCAAAAAUACUCAAAUAAUAAACAUUAAUAUAUGGGUCAGACAUAAUCAGAUAAUGGCUUUUGAUGAUCUAGUACAACAAAACCCAUUUUAAUAUCACAGGACAACUGGAAAUAGGGUUUUAUUGAAAGAAUAAUCAUACAUCCUACUUUGGGGUAUCUUAUUCUUAGUAGAGCUUACACUUGUAGCUUAUUUUUGUACAAAGAUACAAAAAAAUUCUUUAUGUACUCUUUACUAACAUGGUUGUAAAUUAAAAAUUGCCUAAGAUAGACUCUGAGACUCAGAAGUAGAAAGCAUAAAGAAAAUAAAGUAUGAAUAACAAGUGA